UACGGAGGGUGCGAGCGUUGUCCGGAAUCAUUGGGCGUAAGGGCGCGUAGGUGGCUUCUUAAGCGUGCGGUGAAAGCCUGGGGCUCAACCCCGGGUCGGCCGUGCGAACUGGGGGGCUGGAGCACUGUAGAGGCAGGCGGAAUUCCGGGUGUAGCGGUGGAAUGCGUAGAGAUCCGGAAGAACACCUGUGGCGAAAGCGGCUCACUGGACCAUAACUGACGCUGAUGCACGAAAAGCUGGGGGGAGCAAACAGG
rnacentral:rRNA from 1 species